GACGAACGCUGGCGGCGUGCCUAAUACAUGCAGGUAGAACGCUGAAGGAGGAGCUUGCUCUUCUGGAUGAGUAGCGAACGGGUGAGUAACGCGUAGGUAACCUGCCUGGUAGCGGGGGAUAACUAUUGGAAACGAUAGCUAAUACCGCAUAACAGUAGAUGUUGCAUGACAUUUACUUAAAAGGUGCAAUUGCAUCACUACCAGAUGGACCUGCGUUGUAUUAGCUAGUUGGUGGGGUAACGGCUCACCAAGGCGACGAUACAUAGCCGACCUGAGAAGGUGAUCGGCCACACUGGGACUGAGACACGGCCCAGACUCCUACGGGAGGCAGCAGUAGGGAAUCUUCGGCAAUGGACGGAAGUCUGACCGAGCAACGCCGCGUGAGUGAAGAAGGUUUUCGGAUCGUAAAGCUCUGUUGUAAGAGAAGAACGAGUGUGAGAGUGGAAAGUUCACACUGUGACGGUAGCUUACCAGAAAGGGACGGCUAACUACGUG
rnacentral:rRNA from 1 species